rnacentral:lncRNA from 9 species
GGGGGGAGGAGGUACUUUUUUUUUUUUCUAAACGUCUUUGAGGAAAAUUCUUUUUUUUUUUUUUUUUUUUAAUACUUUUGGCCGAAGUUUUCAUGAGAUGUCACUCACUUCCUGUCUUCCAUUUUAAACUGGUAACAACUCAAAUGUCAGCUCUGGAUUGGGAGCGGGACAAGCCCCUCCGUUUUUAGUUGAAAAGAAUCAGCUGCUUGCCGGUUGCCUCCUGUGGUGUGGGUGUCUUUUCCAUUCCUGAAUCAUCUCGAGAUCUCAAAGUUCUGGAAACAAGAUGACCUUCUUCUUAGGCCUGUGGACAUAGUUUUGAUUGAUUAUUAGCUGACUUGUUUAGAGGUCAUUGCUUGACUCCAACUCUUAGCUAUAGCAGAGGGUCUUUACCCUGGCUACCUAUUAGAAAGAAUCUUCUAGGGGCUUUUAAAAAUCCAUGGAUUCAGAUUCAGUCGUUGUAAAGAGGUCUGGUACUAGCAUUUUAAAGUCUCCUUAGGGAGUUCCCAUGGUGGCUCAGUGGAAACGAAUCUUAUUAGCAUCCGUAAGAAUGCAGGUUUGAUUCCUGGCCUCACUCAGGGGGUUAAGGAUCUGGUGUUGCCAUGAGCUGUGGUGUAGGUCGCAGCUACAGCUCCGAUUAGACCCCUAGCCUGGGAACCUCCAUAUGCCGUGGGUGUGGGCCUAAAAUAAAAAGAGUAAUAAAUAAAUAAAGUAUCCUUAGCUGAUACUAAUGCACAGCCAGGUUUGAGAACCACUGUCUUGGACACCUUGGUGACCUUUGGUCCCUGUGCAAACCUAGGCAUGUUUCCUUUUCAGGUUGCCAUUCACCUGCCACUUAAUAAUAAGCAAUACUAUUUAUUGAAUUGAGUCCCUGUGUGUCUGGCAUGGUGCUUUGCACUUUAUAAGCCUCUGUUCAUUCCUCUUAAUAGUCCCUGGAGGUAGGCAGUAUCAUUCUGCAUUUUCCAGAAGGGCAGCAGGCUGAGAAGCAUCAUGUAUGUUAAUUAGCUAGGAAUUGGCAGGGCUGAGGCUUGAACCCAGUCCUACCCUUAACUGUGACAGCAUCCUUUGCUGCCCACCAGCGCAUGUGAAGGGCCACAGUGACCUGUGUGGCACCUGCGACCCUGGUUUCAGAGCCAAAGGCUGCAAGAGCUCUUUUCUCUCCCACCCAGGAAGUAGAGGGAAGCCAAGAGCUGAGUGCACCUGGAGCUUCAUGCCCCCUUCUGGCCAGAGGCCCCCUCAUCUCUGAACUGUCAGUCAUCCUGCAUCCCUGAGGCUUCACAACGCUCUUUUUCCCAAGGCAGUUUGCAAAUCAGGAUGGGCCCUUUAUAGGUGUUAGAAAUCAUUUGUAUUUUUAUUUUAAAGUCAAAGAAUUGAUAUGUAUAUUUUAAUAACUCAUUUUGCCCUCUUGGAGAGUGUGCUGAGCAGCAUAAACACCCAUGUGUGGAGCAGAGUAAGUUCUGGUUCCUUGUCAGGUCAUGUUCUUGCUCUUCCUUUUAGCCCCAUUUCUGCAGUCUCUAAUCUCAGACUGUGGAGUGGUUUAAAGUAUUCUCACUUAGUGUUAAUAGUUGAAAACAUCUACAAGGGACAGAGAAAUAAUUAGAUAUAAAUUGAAGUGGCGAACAUAAAAGGAAUGCAUUAUGAGGUAGAUCUUAACCCAAAUAACAAUCACAAUUCAAUCUUGUUCUUGUGUCUGCUCACUCAUUCAUUCACCAGAUAUUUAUUGCGCCCAUAGCCAGACAUUUUGCUAAGUAUUGGUGAAUUCAAGAUGCCCAUUUGACAGGAUCCUUGUCCUCAAAGAGUUUGUAGCCGAGUCGGGGUGAGUCAUGUAAGCUGGUAGAUGUUACAGGGAAUUCUGGGUGCUGUGGGCAUAAUGGUCACAGAGGAGGGAGUGGCCAGUUCUGUCGGGGUUGGACUGCAGUGGUUAGAAUAGGUUUGCAAAAGCUUGUGGGCAGUCUCUUGGGAUGUGUUCACGAGUAAUGGGAGCCCGAAGGAAACAUGAGGUUGCCCCACCCUUUGUACAGGGGAUAGGCACAAGUUAUUGAAGCUAUUGAUUAAACUGCAGGUGAUCAAGCACCAGGAUCAUAGUCUGCAGUGACAUUCUCCGGGCAAGACUGGCAGCUGGUAAGGAGACUGCUUCACCACUUCCCGUGUCACUUAGAAUGGUGAUGGUGAUACCUCACAGGAUGCUUGUAACGGUUGAAUGAAGUCAUGGGUAGAGAGGGUUUAGCUUAACACAGCGCUUGGCACAUAGUAAGAGCUCCAGGGCUCAUCCAUGUGCAGCCACACCAAUGGGCAGAAGAUUGAAAUACUUCUUUGCUGUUCCAUGAAGAGCUGCGGCCUUGAGGCCCCUGAGUGCCCUCCUUGGGACCACUAACCACCUUACAGUCUAGCAACUAAUAGGCUAAAACCCUGGCCUAGUGGGGCCUCCAGGACCUGACUCUAGCCCCGUGGCCAGCAUUCAUUCUGAUGGAUGGGCACCCAUGCUUUGCCAGUGGUGCAAUAUUUUGAAAUCACCUUAAUGCCUUCCUCAAAGCAUGAUUCUGAGCUACCGAUCUGUUUUUCUAGUAACAUCUGGACAACCUCCCUCCCUGUGCUACCCCCACCCCCCACCUCACUGGACAUCUUGCAUCAUUCAGAACUGAAGACCUUUUCCCGUGGAGUAAGUGGAAGCACUGCUCCCUCCUUGCUUGAGCCAGAUUCUCAUUGCUUGAGAAUCACCCCUGUCUCUCUACCUCUCCCUUUUCCUGUCCCUCCAUACCCACUCAGGUUGAAGCCCAGGCACAGCCACCCCCAUUCCACUUCUUCCAGCCUUCACUCCAUCACCAGAUGCUGCCUGGAUUCCAGCAGCAGCCCCUCACCUCACCCCCCCUGCCUGUUAACACAGAACCACAGUUGGUAUGCUCAGUUUUCAUGCAGCAGCAGUUGGAGAGCUCCACUCUGCUGGACAAGGAGCAGAUGACAGAGAUCAAGAUAGAUGUGGUUCCUGCCUUCAUGAAGCCCACAGUCUAGCUGGCAGGAGAGCAGCAAUAGAUGUGGAGAAACGGAGCUAAAUGUACAAAGUGCAGUUAGUGUCCUGAGGGGCAGGAACAGCCCUGAUUGGCCUCCCUAUCCUUAGCCCAGCUCUUGUUUAGGGAAUUCCCUGUGUCCUUUCCCCACUAAAUCCUUCGGUAUCUUUCCUUUGGCUACGGGAGAAAAUCCCAGUUAAAAACCUGUGCUAUGAAUUACUCUAGAACUGGUUUCUUUUCUUCACUUAAAAAUACCUGGUACUGCAGGUCCCGUGGGGUACAAGCAGUAACGGAACCCAACUGGUAUCUAUGAGGAUGAGGGUUCAAGCCCUCAGUGGAUUAAGGAUCUGACAUUGCAGUGAGCUGUGGUGUAGGUCACAGGUGUGGCUUGGAUUUGGUGUGGCUGUGGCUGGUAGCUGCAGCUCCCAUUUGAUCCCUAACCUGGGAAAUUGCAUAUGCUGCAGUUGCGGCCCUAAAAAGACAAACAAAAACUAGUACUUUUGGGGUUUACUUUUUAUUGAAGUGUAAUUUGUGCGCUUUAAGGCAUACACAUCUUAAGUACACAGCUGAAAGAAUUUCUGCACAUGAUACACCACGUACUAAGAUUACAUCACACCAGAUCAAGAUACAGAGCAUUUCUAGCACCCCCGUGGCUUCCUAUGCCCCCUUAGCCAGUAACCUCCCAAGGUAACCACUCUUCUGACUGCCAUCACUGUCAGUUAUUUGUGCCUAUUUUUGAUUUUUACAUAGAUGGAGUUGUACCAUAUAAGACCUGGUAUUCCUUAAAAAAAAAGAGCCCAGCUUUAUUGAGAUAUACUUUAUAUACUGUAAAAUCUACCCAAUUAAACUGUACAGUUGUUCUUAGUAUAUUUACACAAGGCCGUAAAUUUGAUAAAUCUUCUAAUUUGAUAAAUCUCGCCCCUGUCACAUACUAAAAAAAAAAAAAAAAAAAA